AUCCUUUUGUGAUUCAUAAAGUGAUUGAGCUUUGACACUAUUGUGUGAGAUGUGCCUCCCUCAAACUUAUUAUAAUGUCAACAUGUUACAUUAGAAAUAUGAGA